rnacentral:rRNA from 1 species
AGCCUACGGGAGGCAGCAGUGAGGAAUAUUGGUCAAUGGGCGGGAGCCUGAACCAACCAAGCCGCGUGAGGGAAGAAGGUACAGCGUAUCGUAAACCUCUUUUGUCAGGGAACAAGGGCGGGGACUAGUCCCCGGAUGAGGGUACCUGAAGAAAAAGCAUCGGCUAACUCCGUGCCAGCAGCCGCGGUAAUACGGAGGAUGCGAGCGUUAUCCGGAUUUAUUGGGUUUAAAGGGUGCGUAGGCGGUUUAUUAAGUCUGUGGUUUAAGUCCGAAGCUCAACUUCGGUGCGCCAUAGAAACUGAUAG